rnacentral:tRNA from 2 species
CGGGGUGUCGUAUAGUGGUAGUAUGCACGCUUUGGGAGCGUACGGCCUGGGUUCGAUUCCCAGCACCCCGACCA